CGCCUCCGUCUGCGCAGCCGCCGGGCCGCCCUGGGCGGGGCCCGCUACGCUCCUCUCAGCGGUAGGGCAGCCCGACGGACCGGCUGCCGCGGGGCGGGACCCUCGCUCGC
ensembl:miRNA